GCGUGGGAACGUGCCCUUUUCUAAGGAAUAGCCACUGGAAACGGUGAGUAAUACCUUAUACGCCCUUCGGGGAAGAUUUAUCGGAGAAGGAUCGGCCCGCGUUAGAUUAGAUAGUUGGUGGGGUAACGGCCUACUAAGUCUACGAUCUAUAGCUGGUUUUAGAGGAUGAUCAGCAACACUGGGACUGAGACACGGCCCAGACUCCUACGGGAGGCAGCAGUGGGGAAUAUUGGACAAUGGGCGCAAGCCUGAUCCAGCAAUACCUCGUGUGUGAAGAAGGCCUUAGGGUUGUAAAGCACU
rnacentral:rRNA from 1 species